GAGGGGCUGGUUUUCAGUACUAUUGUACAGUAAAAAAUAUUUUUGUCUUGGUUUGCGCUCACCACCUCCUUUCACUAUCUUUUUUUUCCUUUCCUAUGUUUCUGACACUAAUGUAGUUUUAAUUUAAGAUGAUGAAUGAUCCAAAAGAUACAACAUGAAUCACUAGAGGAAUAUAGACGACAGACUCUGCUUAGUUUAAUUCUUUGUUUAAACUUAAUUUUAUUGGUUUACCAUUGUCAAUUAUGAAUGUUAUUAUAAUAUGUCUACAGUCUUGCUCUGGGGAGGAGAAAGUUACUUCCAGAAGGAUAAAAACAAUAGUUGCAUACAGUACAUACAAGGAACAUUAAAGGUGGUAAGGAAACAAGUAUCUAAGAUAAACUCUUGGCUCCAUUAGGGGGACAUGAAUUCCAGCAAGCGAAUUGGCUCACGGAAAUAAGAAAAUGCAUGAAAAUAUCACAGAAUCCAUAGUUUACAUGACAUAAAAGGGGCCAAACACACAGGCAGCCUGUAGGUUGGCAUGGGCUUCAUGUACUUUUCCAUGCUUGAGGAAAAGUAAUAAUCUCUUUCUGCCAAGUCGGUCUCAGUGUUAGUACCAAGGAGAGUCUUCCCAUGUUUGUGGAGAUUGUUCAGGUCUGGCUCAUAUGCUGAAAGGGAUGUACUGGAACCUUUACAAAUAUGAAAGCCAAAAAAAAUCGGCAGAAAAUGCUGAAAUGUUUGUAUGAGAAUUUAGCCUGCUUAGGGAAGAAGCCUGGGCAAUUAUGCCAAGGAGGACAACAAAAUAUUGCACUACAGUGAUGCAGCAAUUUGCAGAUUAUUUGGGAAAAUAUCCUUCAAUAAAAUGUCUACUUGGGUGUAAUGGGCAAUGGAGACAAAUUUCGAUAUCCUUUACUGAAUCAAAUGUGAGGUUAACUGAGGAGAAAAUCAAUCCUUUUUUUAAAAAAGUAUGGUUAUAUGUGACCUGGUCAAAACUUGAUUCAGCUACACAAAAUUAUCUGUUGUGUUUUAUAAGACACUCACUUGGAAUUAGGUGAGUAAUAUCUGGUUUACAAAUAUGUAGGUUAAAGUCACUUAAAAAGAAACGCUUCCAAAAUAUGUAGCUGUGCUAGAACAUCUAUUUCUUUUAUAUAGAGAAAAUGAAGGGCCAAUGAGAAGAAAUCUGUACCCUAGAAUGCAUUUUCCUGUUCUUCCUAUAUUAUUUCUAGUUCUAGAAACAGUUCUAAUAACAAAGUGUAAAAUUAAAAUGCAAUGCAGUGCAGUUCUUAAGACUAUGGGCGUUUGAGUCAAAUAGAGCUAAAUACAAAUUCUAUUUUUGUCAUUUACCGAUUGAAUGAACCUAGGAAAGCUAUUGAACUAGCCAACCCUCGCAUUUCCAUUACGAUAAUGGGAAUAAUACAAACUUUAUAGUUUCAAGAGGAUAAAAUGAGAGAAUAUAUGUUAAAAUAACAAAGUGACUGGCAUUUAAUAAAUUCUGAAAGAUUAUUUCACUUACCUGAGUAUUCAGAAAUAUUUAUUGAACAUUUGUGAUAUGCUAGACAAUGGUUCUAGGGAUAUAACAGUCUUUGAUAUCAGGAAGUCUGAUGAAAAGAAAAUUAAUAAACACUGAAACAAAUAAUAUGUCAGAAGUGUGGUCUGGGAUAAAAAAUGCAGAGUGCUAAAUGAUAGUGAUUUAUGGGCUGGAGAAAUUAUUUUUUUAUUUUUAUUUUCAAUUUUCAUUUAUUCACUUUUUACAGUGGUUAUUUUAUGACUGGUUUAUUUCAUUUAGCAUAAAGUUUUCAAGGUUCAUCCCUGUUGUAGUAUAUGCCAGAAUUUUGUUCUUUUGUUUUUCAGCUUUACUGAAGUACUAUUAAAAAAUAAAAAUGGUAUAAACAGGUAUUCAAGGCAUACAGAUUGAUAUUUUGAUAUGAAAAUAUAUUGUGAAAUGAUUACCACAAUCAAGGUAAUUAACCUAUUCAUCACCUCAAAUACUUACCUUUCCAUUUUUUUUUUUUUUUUUUUUUUUUUUUUUUUGUGGUGAGAAUACUUAAGUUCUACUCUCUUGGCAAGUUUCAAGUAUGCAAUACAUUGUUAUUACCCGUAGUAACUAUGAGGUAAAGUAUACAUCAUAUAAAAAUUAUUCAUCUUGCAACUGCAAAUUUGUACCCUCUGACCAACCUCUCCCAUCUCACCCAUCUCCUGACCUCUGGUAACCACACUCUCUUUCUAUGAGUUCCAUUUUUUAGACUCUGCAUGUAGGUGAGAUCAUGCAGUAUUUUUCUAUUUCUGGCUUAUGUCACUGAGCAUAAUAUCUUCCAGUUUCAUCCAUAUUGUUGCAAUGGCAGGAUUUCCUUCUUUUUUAGAGUCUGAAAUAUUCCUCUGUGUGUGUGUGUGUAUCAAGUUCUUUCUCCAUUCAUCCAUUGAUUUGAUGGACAUUUAGAUUGUUUCUAUACUUAACUAUUGUGAAUAAUGCUGAAAUGAAUGUGGGGCUGCAGGUAUGUCUUCACAUUAGUUAUUUUAUUUCUAUUGGAUAUAUAGCCAGAAGUAGCUUGUUGAAUCAUAUGAUAAUUCUCUUUUUAAUUUUUUGAUAAAUCUCCAUACUGCCUUCCACUAUGGCUGCACCAAUUUACAUUCCCACCAGCAAUGUACAUGACUUUCCUGUUCUCUAAAUCCUCACCAACAUUUACUGUCUUUUGAAUUUUUUUAAUAAUAAGCAUCCUAAAAGCUGUGAAGUGAUAGUUCUUUGAGUUCUGAUUUGCAUUUCCAUAAUGAUUAGUGAUGUUGAACACCUUUUCAUGUACCUAUUGACUAUUUAUAUGUCUUCUUUGGAAAAAUAUCUAUUUAGGACCCAUGCUCCAUUUUAUAUUGUGUUAUUAUUAUUAUUUGCUAUUAAGUUAUAUAAGUUUCUUAUAUAUUUUGGAUAUUAAUCCUUUGCCUUAUUGAAUUUUCUAUUGCUUAUAAUAGAAUAUCUGAAACUGAGUAAUUUAUUUUAAAAAAUAAAUAUAUUUCUUACAGUUACAGAGAUGAAGAAGUUCAAGGCCAAGGGGCUGCAUCUGGCGAGAACCUUCUUGCUGGCAAGGACUCUCUGGAGUGCCAGGGUCAUGAAGGGCAUCAUGUGGAGAAGGCACAGAGCAUGCUAGCCCAGGCUGGAGGGCAAUGGCGUGGUUUUGCUCACUGCAACCUCCGCCUUCCAGGUUCAAGGAUUCUUCUGCAUCAGCCUUGCAAUUAGCUAGGAAUACAGGUAAGUGCCACGAUGCCCAGCUAAUUUUUGUAUUUUCAGUAGAGACAGAGUUUCACCAUGUUGGUCAGCCUGGUCUUGAACUCUGGACCUCAAAUGAUCUACCUACUUCGGCUUCCCAAAGUGUUGGGAUUACAGGUGUUAACCAAUGCAUCCAGCCUUGAGGUGUAUUUAUUCUAUAUCUAAUUUGAUGAGCGUUUUCAUCAGGAAAUAAUAUCUAAUUUUGUGAAAUGCUUUUGUGCAGUUUUGAGAUGAUUAUCUUUUUAUUUUUCAGUUUGUUAAUAUUGUGUACCACAUUUAUUGAUUUGCAUAUGUUAAUCCAUCCUUGCAUCCCAGGAAUAAAUUUUGCUUAGUCAUGGUGAAUGAUCUUUUUAAUGUACUAUUAAAUUCAGUUAGCUAGUAUUUUUUUGAGAAUUUUUGUAUCUAUGUUCAUCAGGCAUAUUGGCUUGUAAUUUUCUUUUCUGGUAGUCUUCUGGUCUGGCUUUUGUAUUAGGGCAAUUCUGGCAUUUUAAAAUAAGUUUAGAGGUAUUUCAUUCUUCUCAAGUUUUUGGAAGAGUUUGAGAAUGAUAGGUGGUAUUUUGGUUUUUCCUUUAAAUAAUUGAUAGAAUUUACCAGUGAAAGUAUCUGGUCCUUGGGAC
rnacentral:lncRNA from 10 species